UCGGGCUGAGAGAAAGGGAAAGGCACUUUUACAGUGUCUUGGAAUAUUUUUCUUCUGCACAAUUCUGACUUUUCAGCACAUAUUCAUGCUACAGCGAGAGAAGGAAAGAAAACAAAAAGGAUUCAGAGGUUUUACACCACAAGCUGAGAGGAGUUUGCACCCAUCAGAGCCCUGAUGGGUGGCUGCUGUUUAAUGUGACUUGCCGCAUCAAACACCUGUUUGCCAGGGCAAUUGUGCAAGAAGAGAGCCUGUCUCUACGGUCAACGUGGAAAUACAGAUUGACAAAGCCUUCUCCAGAAGAAAUUCAAAUAUCCCACCUAUGAAUACCUUACAGAUCAUACCAAGGACAGUCUACUGGGAGUGAACAUCGUUUUAGGCAAGAGAGGUAAUCUAGAUCUCAUGUGCUUCAAGGAAAUGCUUAAAUAUCCUUUUAGGAAGGAAAUGGGGGCUUGUGUCUAUC